rnacentral:rRNA from 1 species
AUUGAACGCUGGCGGCAUGCCUUACACAUGCAAGUCGAACGGCAGCAUAGGAGCUUGCUCCUGAUGGCGAGUGGCGAACGGGUGAGUAAUAUAUCGGAACGUGCCCUAGAGUGGGGGAUAACUAGUCGAAAGACUAGCUAAUACCGCAUACGAUCUACGGAUGAAAGUGGGGGAUCGCAAGACCUCAUGCUCCUGGAGCGGCCGAUAUCUGAUUAGCUAGUUGGUGGGGUAAAAGCCUACCAAGGCAACGAUCAGUAGCUGGUCUGAGAGGACGACCAGCCACACUGGGACUGAGACACGGCCCAGACUCCUACGGGAGGCAGCAGUGGGGAAUUUUGGACAAUGGGGGCAACCCUGAUCCAGCAAUGCCGCGUGAGUGAAGAAGGCCUUCGGGUUGUAAAGCUCUUUUGUCAGGGAAGAAACGGUAGUAGCGAAUAACUACUACUAAUGACGGUACCUGAAGAAUAAGCACCGGCUAACUACGUGCCAGCCGCCGCGGUAAA